rnacentral:rRNA from 1 species
AACGAACGCUGGCGGCAUGCCUAACACAUGCAAGUCGAACGAGACCUUCGGGUCUAGUGGCGCACGGGUGCGUAACGCGUGGGAACCUGCCCUUAGGUUCGGAAUAACUCCCCGAAAGGGGUGCUAAUACCGGAUAAUGUCUUCGGACCAAAGAUUUAUCGCCUUUGGAUGGGCCCGCGUUGGAUUAGCUAGUUGGUAGGGUAAAAGCCUACCAAGGCGACGAUCCAUAGCUGGUCUGAGAGGAUGAUCAGCCACACUGGGACUGAGACACGGCCCAGACUCCUACGGGAGGCAGCAGUGGGGAAUAUUGGACAAUGGGCGAAAGCCUGAUCAAGCAAUGCCGCGUGAGUGAUGAAGGCCUUAGGGUUGUAAAGCUCUUUUACCCGGGAUGAUAAUGACGGUACCGGGAGAAUAAGCUCCGGCUAACUCCGUG